UCGAGAGAGUAAGACCCUGUUUUUAAAAAAAAAAAAAAGACGCGGUUGGUUAUGUGCCUUUCACUUUCUGUUUCUUUGCUUCAGAAGCUGCUGUUUGGUCAUUUGUUUCCUUCAUUUUCCAGGUGCUUCUUUGACAGACUCUUCCUCCUCCUCUUCAUCAUCUUCAUCCUCUCCAUCGACGUCGCCACCCUCUUCAUCGUCAUUCUCAGCCAUGCUUUUGGCUUUCACAGGAACAGCUUUUGUAGACGUUUUCCUUCCUGUGGCUGGCGUGGUCUCCAUAGCUGCUGCUUCAGCACCAUCUCCCUUGGCAUCAUCCUCAUCGUCCUCGUCCUCAUUCUCUGGGGCAGGGGCACCGCUGCUGCUUUCAUCACUGCUGGCUCAGAUUCAUCCCCCUCGUCACUGUCUUCCUUGGCGUUCCUGCCAUUCUUUGCCCCCCUGGCUGGGGUGCUCCCUCCUUACCAGGAGCUACUGCCAAUGCCUUCCCUGGUGUGGCUCCCUUCUUGCCAGGUGUGGCGACUGCUUUGCCUGGAGUGACAGCUGCUUUCUUGGCGGGUGUGGCACCUGCAGCCUUUCUUGUUGGGGAAAUUGCCGCCUCCUUUGCUGAGUUGCAGCAGCCUUCUUGCCAUUCUCCCGAGAUGUCACAGCCUCUUCUCCACGGCUGUCAUCUUCUGACAUUUCCUCAUCUUUACUUUCUUCUUCUGCCUCCUUUGGGGUAGCAGCCAUUUUCCGGGGUCACCUUGGUUUUUACCUGCCUCUCCAACUAAGUAGUCCGAAGCCACUAAGGUUGGGAAAUCUUUGCAGGUGCGGGUUGGGAGAGCAGCAGGAGGUGGCUGGGCCCUGGUAGUGGGCCCAGUAGGAGAUGCUGGCAGCACCGCGAGAGGGCCUGGUUGGGAGUUAAGCCUUCGUGUAUCUGAGAUAAAUCACAAGCUCUUCUUGGUAUGAAAAUGUAAGAAAAUGACUCCGCAUCUUGCAGGAAACUGUGGGAAUGUGAAGGAGUUAAAUGGAAUCAGGGUAAGAAGGGCUGAGGGCCUCACAUAGAGCUCUGUGUUUUCUGCAUUGGAAAUUCUCAAAGAAGCUCAAAAGAGAGACUGUUCACAGCCCAUUUAGUAAAAGCACAGGUUGACCAUGCGCUGAAGUACAGGGCUUAGUGUUUCUCGGACCAAUCCUGAAGGUCUUCCAGGUGAAUCACUUACUCAGAUUAUUCCAGGCAACAUUUAAGACUCUGAGAUUAAGCCUAAAAAAAGAAAACAAAACCUAAGAUCAAGGAACCAGCGGGAGAAAAAAAAAGGUUCUGAAAUUGAUUUGAUUUUUUUUUUUUUUUUUU